UGUACAACUUAUUUUAAAAAUGGUAUAAAAUUAAAUGUACCAUUAUAUACUCACCAUAGAUUUAAAUGCUGUUUAAAGAGUCCAAAUGGUAUCGAGCUGCUUGAGUGGCACGUUAAACUACGCAAAACCAAAUCUUGUUUAAAAACUGGUUUUAAAAUAACUACUGGAUUUUCUGAAAAAGAUGUGAUCAGUUUUCAUCUUGUUGAGCGUUUUUUCACUAGUGCAACUUUGGAUUUUUUAUGAGAAUUUUGGUACCUUAAUGAACACCUCGCUCCAUGCUGGAAGCACUAAGCACAAAGCUUUUAAAGACUUUCUGGCUUGACUAAUUGAGGUCGCACUCGCCAAGGCUGAGGAUGUGUAACCCUUAAACGGUCUUCAUUUUCAAAGGAAAUGUCAGCCAUCUUGGAAUGUCACACGAACUGGUUGAACACCUGAAGCAAACAAAGGAACUUUCCUUCUAUUUAUGGACUGCUUAAGAAUAGUCAACUCACCAACGUGCCUAGUCAGUAAAUGAAUCCACUUGGGAACUUGAAAAACAUCUUAAUUAAUUUUUUGUUUGCAUAAUUUUGUGUUCUGUGACAUGUUUUUAUUAUAUGGUAUGCUUUUAAUUUGGAGAACCUACCUUUUUAAAAAACGGAAAGAAAAUCUAUCUUAUUUUGUUGUCUCCCAAUAACAAAAAGAGGACGAUUUGUAUAGUAGUUAAUAAAGGCUGCCUAUUGAAAUCUCUUCUACUUU
rnacentral:sRNA from 1 species